AACGAACGCUGGCGGCGUGCUUAACACAUGCAAGUCGAACGCGAAAGGGACUUCGGUCCUGAGUAAAGUGGCGCACGGGUGAGUAACGCGUAGAUAACCUGUCUUCGAGUCUGGAAUAAUACACCGAAAGGGGUACUAAUACCGGAUAUUCUUUCACUUCAUAAGGAGUGCAAGCAAAGGUGGCCUCUGUAUAUGCUACUGCUUGAAGAGGGGUCUGCGUACCAUUAGCUAGUAGGUAGGGUAAAGGCCUACCAAGGCAAUGACGGGUAGGGGGCGUGAGAGCGUGACCCCCCACACUGGUACUGACACACGGACCAGAUGCCUACGGGUAGCAGCAGCUAGGAAUAUUGGGCAAUGGGCGAAAGCCUGACCCAGCAACACCGCGUGAAGGACGACGGCCUUCGGGUUGUAAACUUCUUUUCGAGGGAAUGGAGAAAGGACAGUACCCUCGGAAUAAGGCCCGGCUAACUACGUGCCAGCAGCCGCGGUAACUAGUCUACG
rnacentral:rRNA from 1 species